ensembl:lncRNA LINC02831 long intergenic non-protein coding RNA 2831
AGAUUUCAGUUGAGAAGCAAUGCUGUUUCACCUCCCUGAGAGAAUUGCCUUGUUUGUGAAAUACUACAGAAAAACCUGUAUUUUCUCCAGAAAAUGAAAGGUCUUGGCCUGAGUAAAUCAAGGCAGAAAACUCACCCCCGUGAAAGCUGCAGCUCUGAGAGUGUGUGGGCAGGGCUUCAACAGAAUACCUGUGGCUGCACUUACAAAAGGCAGCCAGAAGGACCCGUCCAUUCUGGAAAGUACCUUUAGUCUGAAAGCAUUUAUUGCAGAAAAAAUAUGAGGCUUGCUGGUAGUAUUCCCAGGUGACAAAUGUGCACCCAACACCCUACAGAAAAGAAGAACCAUAAAAUAAUUAAUUAUUCCAUUGUAACUCCUGCCUGGAAAACAUCUGAAAGAAGUCACUAGAUUCAGCCCACAUUCAAGAUGAGAAAUACCAGAAGGCAGAGAACACUGAGGCUGUUUUAGAGGCUGUCAACCCCAGGGAGACAGACAGCAAAUAAGUAAGCAAAUAAAUAAAAAUGGAAGGUGAUAAUAAGUGCAAUGAAAAGAAAUGAAGCAGAGUAAAGAAUCAAGAGUAGCAGUUGAGGGGAUGCUUGGAUGUUUUCACACCACUCUGACACAUGGAUGGAAGGUUAGAAGACAACAAAGGAAUGGGCUGGGAAGGACUCCAAAAGCAGAAUCAGAGAUUAUAUCAUUCCUUGGAAAUGGAGAAAAGGAUCAAAAAAGCUGAAUAAAAGGCAAACAUGGAGGAACAGAGUUUGGAGCAAUACCCUGACUUACAUUCAGUACUGUUAAUGGCUCCAGCAUCUUGAAACAAACCAAUUUUGGAUUUUCAGUGAAAAAGAAAGCCAACCCAGAAAAUCACUUAGGAAGAUCCAGACAACAGAUGGUACGCCAAAAGUGAACAAUGAUCUCAGUAACUGAGGCCUCAGAGACAAGAUGAUCCAUUCCACAGCUGGAUAUUGUAAAACUUGGGUACCAGUGGUGCGCAGAUCUGACCAUUAAAACUAUGUACUUCUUGAGUCACAAACCAGUGUGUGUGACUGGUUAAAACCCAGUCACAACCUGGAAAAAGUUGUGGAAAGCACCUGGGGACUGAGGAGAAGCAAACUUCCUUAGGUUUACACAGUAUGGCUGGCACCUUAAGCAAGUUAAAAUCGGUCUCAAUUCCCUGCAGAAUAAGGGCAACACCAAUUAUGCUACCUACUUCAUGCAAGAACCUAAAAUGAAAAAUAAAAUUGCUUUUAAAAUGUGCUCCAGCCAAAUAA